GCUGAAGCCACCGCCAGGACAAGCAGCAUGUAAAGACUCUGAAGAGCAAAUCAAUUCCACCAGCUAUGGACAGAUGUACAUGUCUCUGCAGUAACCUAAGUCUGAACAUAUUUAGUCCCUGCGGCGAGCUCCUCGGCCAGCGAGGAAGAACGACCACCACUCGAGGAUUCUUCUCAGAUCACACUUUAUUGGAGCGCCUCUUGAUUAAGGGAGAGCUGGAGGUGAGGGGCCCUGAGGACUGAAAUGCAGCUGCUUAUAUGAGGAUUCAAGCAAAUGGGUCAGUCCGUGAUUUGAUCGCGCCAGAAUGCGAGCACGGGGAGCCACGGGAUAGGCUGAGGACAUGGAGUCAAUUACCAUACUCUCGCAUGCGCGGACCUUAGGACACGUAGUCCUAGAAGCAUAGCCAAUUAUGGAGUUGUUUACAGCUGGGCUGUCAGGAAGUCAACGCCAUCUUAGAAUGGCGGCUCCCUACAAGUCCCCAAAAUGACACUAUCCCAUGAGCUUGAGCCAAUGUGUCUAGGAGCAGCAGGGGGUAUUGUAGGUGAGUUUUCAUGGUCCUGCCUGGCCCAAGGUCAUGAUA